rnacentral:rRNA from 1 species
GACGAACGCUGGCGGCGUGCUUAACACAUGCAAGUCAAACGGUAAGGCCCUUCGGGGUACACGAGUGGCGAACGGGUGAGUAACACGUGGGUGAUCUGCCCUGCACUUCGGGAUAAGCCUGGGAAACUGGGUCUAAUACCGGAUAGGACCCUGGGAUGCAUGUCCUGGGGUGGAAAGCUUUUGCGGUGUGGGAUGGGCCCGCGGCCUAUCAGCUUGUUGGUGGGGUGAUGGCCUACCAAGGCGACGACGGGUAGCCGGCCUGAGAGGGUGACCGGCCACACUGGGACUGGGAUACGGCCGAGACUCCUACGGGAGGCAGCAGUGGGGAAUAUUGCACAAUGGGCGCAAGCCUGAUGCAGCGACGCCGCGUGAGGGAUGACGGCCUUCGGGUUGUAAACCUCUUUCAGCACCGACGAAGCGCAAGUGACGGUAGGUGCAGAAGAAGGACCGGCCAACUACGUGCCAGCAGCCGCAGUAA